rnacentral:misc_RNA from 1 species
GCUAUAGAAACCUGUUGGAAUUUGGGAAACCAAAAUUUUGUGGCAUGAAUUGUCUGACAUAUAAUUUUUUUGCAAAGAUAGAAUGUUAUAUUUUUGUGACCCAUCAGAUUUUAUUUUGAAACAACCAAUUGCCUAUGCAUCUCUCUGCUAUUAUGAUGUCUUCAUUUCUCAAAAGAAUCUGUUGAUGGAUGUAGAGGGACGGAUAUGAGUAGUCCU